rnacentral:rRNA from 1 species
CGGGGGGGCAAGCGUUGUUCGGAAUUACUGGGCGUAAAGGGCUCGUAGGUGGCCAACUAAGUCAGACGUGAAAUCCCUCGGCUUAACCGGGGAACUGCAUCUGAUACUGGAUGGCUUGAGUUUGGGAGAGGGACGCGGAAUUCCAGGUGUAGCGGUGAAAUGCGUAGAUAUCUGGAGGAACACCGGUGGCGAAGGCGGCGUCCUGGACCAACACUGACACUGAGGAGCGAAAGCCAGGGGAGCAAACGGGAUUAGAUACCCCGGUAGUCCUGGCCCUAAACGAUGAAUGCUUGGUGUGGCGGGUAUCGAUCCCUGCCGUGCCGAAGCUAACGCAUUAAGCAUUCCGCCUGGGGAGUACGGUCGCAAGGCUG